rnacentral:rRNA from 1 species
UACGGAGGGUGCUAGCGUUAUCCGGAAUCACUGGGUUUAAAGGGCGCGUAGGCGGCUUAUUAAGUCAGAGGUGAAAGGCUGCGGCUCAACCAUGGGAUUGCCUCUGAUACUGGUAGGCUUGAAUCAGGGAGAGGUUGGCAGAAUGUGGCAUGUAGCGGUGAAAUGCAUAGAUAUGGCAUAGAACACCGGUUGCGAAGGCAGCUGUCUGGCCCUUGAUUGACGAUGAGGCGCGAAAGCGUGGGGAGCGAACAGG